UCAAGUCUCAUGUACUGUAUACGUGAUUGGUUUAAUGAAAUCUCAAGUAAGUCCAGCAUGCAAGUCCAUUGGGAGAAAACAAUAGCCUUGUCACGUAGUUCAGAUUGCAUUGUAGAGUUGAAAGAUGUAUUUGUUUUAGCAUGGCCAUUAGAGUAGCCUUGCUCCGAGAUACGGUCAUAAGUGCUUUCUAGAGAGAGAGCUACAUCUUUGCAUCCCUCACAACUAACUGUGGAACUUGGAUUCUUUAAUUUACAAACUGAAUGAAGAAUCUCCAUUGCAGAUCCAAUUUUAGAACUGCACAAACUCUGCCCAGCUUCUUGGAUGGGUCAGUUUAUCUAGUUUUAUUUGGUCAUUGUAGCUGACAAUUAGAUUCCAUGCUUACAUUCCCAAAUUCUCCUUUGCUAAUUUAAAAUCAAGGAUAUAGUAUACCUGGUUUUCAAAUUUGUAAAAGUUACAUGUUUCAGUGAUAGACUGUUGGUAUGAAAUUCAAAAUAAGUAUCACAUUUCCUACUCUAAUGUGCACAUGUUCUUUACAUGUUUAGAUGUGUGUUGGAUACAUAUGUUUGUUUAUAUUUCUACAUUAUAUCUUUCAACUCAUUUAUUUUUGAGACAUCCGACAAAAUUGAAAUGAUAUAGAGAAGACUAGCAUAACUCCAUAUAAAAAUAAAACAUGCCCAGAUUUUGAAAUAGGCCAACUUAUGGUUUUGAGCUUACAAAUCAUUGCGACGGUGCUCCUGCAUUCCAUCCACCUACCUAAAUAUAGAAAGAAUAUUAUAGGGAAAUGAUGGCAUUGCGACGGGGCUUCUUUAUCUUCACCAAGAUUCUAUAUUUCUUUUCACAUAAAUUUCAAGUGAAAUGUUUUAGCUUAAGAUCAUAGUUAAAUUUUUACCAGUGCAACUGCUAAUAUUUAUGUAUUCUACAGUUUGUAUAUGAAUAUUCAUAUUGGCCUUUGUGGAAAAAUUUGUCUGUAGGUCUUUAUGCUUAUAAUCAUUCCAUUGAAUGGCCCAUUCAUAAAUUCGUGCCUAUAUCUUCUAUUUUAAUUGCCUGAUGUAGCAUGUAUAACUAUUGACAUGACCAUGAUAAGGCUGAUAAUUUAUUUUUGGUAAUUGUAAUGAUGGUAAUCAAUAGAUAAAUGGUACAUAUUAUUGGGCUAUGGGCCCCACUCACUACAAAAAAACUGGUCUUUGCCGACGAUUGGGGCCAACCCUUCACCGGUGCUAAUUAGAUUCGGGCAUUGGCAAAAAGGUUCGUAUAAAUAUAAAUUUCACAAACCCUAUUACGCUACUUCUCUCCUCGUCCGGACUCUCUCCCUGACUCCCCGCCCCCUACUCUCUCACUUUUUCUCCCUCUUUCCUGUGCUUCCCCGUAGCUCCAUACGUGCCAUCACAUCACAUGUAUGCAAGAUCCGGGCUGUUCAUUAGCCAGCCCCACUCUGGAUCUGUCCUAGAUCUCAAAAUCAGAUUGAUCCACUCAUCUGAGUUUGCUUUUGGUCUUGCAAUAAACUUGGUUUGCAAUAAACUACAUUCAGUGAAAGUCUUGUGGAACAGGUAAUUCACCUUUGUACUUUAAUAUUUUCUUUUAAAGGAUUAUGUACUUUUACAUUUUACAUUUUACUUGUUAGUGUUGAAUGCUACCACUUUAAGAUGCAUUUGGUUUUUCAGUGAAAGUCUUGUGGAACAGGUAAUUCACCUUUUUUUUUUCUUUCUCUAGGAGUGUUUUAGUUUUACAGAAAGAAGAGCAAGGUUAAGAACAAGUAAUUCACCUUUGAUCAGCUUACUGUUUGCUAUGAUA